rnacentral:rRNA from 1 species
GGAAAUAUCCAUACCACCCUGAACGCGCCCGAUCUCGUCUGAUCUCGGAAGCUAAGCAGGGUCGGGCCUGUUAGUACUUGGAUGGGAGACAAUUUUCUAGAAUUGAAUGCAAGACUGUAG